UACAGACCUGUGAAAGAAAAAAAAAAGCAGGAAGAGAAUCAGGUCUGUGUUGCGCGACUCUCCCUUACACCCUUCGGUUUGCUUGCCGUUCAGUUAACGCUUUUGUUUAAAACUUUCAGGAUGCAAUAAGACAGACACCACACAAAGAACACAGACAUAAUCUUCCAGUCAUUGUUACAGUUAAUGUGAAUUCUGAAAUCAUAACACCGACUUGACCGGAGAAAAACAUGCGAGAGAAUUACAUCUAAUGACUUUUUGUUUUUCAUUAAUUUAAAGCAAAUCAAAUUACACGGUUCUCUCAUUAAAGCAGUAUUUUCAGCACAAGCAGAAUUCUGUGUGGAACUCUGAACCCCAACAUUCUGUUGCCGGGGGAACGGAGGGUAGCUGCGAGGUUGGCAUAGCAACGGGAGGGAUGUAAUCCCAGCAGACACGCUCUGAUCAAUGCCUCCAGUACACACACACACACACACACACACACACUUGGGAACUGUAUCUGUAUAACUUAGCUACAACAUACAGUCUUCCAAAUCAAUAUUUAAUUCACAAAUGUUCAUUUACUAAAAAGCAAAGUUGGACAAAACUCUCUCUCUCUCUCUCUCUCUCUAAUUGACAACUGAGAGAUUCUGCAUCCUAUAGUGGCGUACCAUAUGAAUAUUGCAUAGGACACUCAUGAAAUCAUAUGUUACACUGGUCUUAUUAACAAGACAUUUUGGGAAUAAAGUAUUUAUGUCAUCUGAUACAAAUUAUAGAGGCAAGAGCAUAUUACGAACAGUAUUGUAAUAGGUCUAGAAAUAGUGUAACUAGCAGACUUUUCUAUUAAGAUCAUCUUAAAUUUUUAAAGCAUAAACCUAUAGGAUAGAAAAAAAGAGAAGCAGUUUUUGUGGAUAAGAGAGAGAGAGGCAGAAUGAGGGAGGGAGGGUGAGAGAGAGAGAGAGAGAAGAAGCCGAGAAAGAGCAGGAGCGGGAGGGAGAGGGAAAGAGUGGGGGUUAUAUUUUCCUUUUUUGUUUUGUGCAGUUCCAGCCCAGAAUUCACAAUGAGGAAUACAUUAGUGCUGAAAAUGAGGAAGCAAAGACUCAGUGAGCCAGACUUGCAGUACCUUAGUGAAUCUCAAAAAACAACUCAUAGACUCCUCCUUCGAACAGAGAACUGAAGUAACGAGGGAUCAGGGUGCGCCCGAUGGCUGGGGAAGAAGGAAUGAGAGUGAGAGAAACAUUUGCAGAGAGGAAAAUUUCAUUCUGAAGACAUCAGUUGCAUUCGUUGAUUAACAAAUGGAAGGAGAAGAAUGGUAUGGACUCCAUACCUAAGCAUUAUUUAUUUAUGGCCAUAUGACGAACGAAACUCAAAGUUAGGCAGCACACUGGCCGAACACCUGAACUGGAAACCAUAAAUGUGUGUGUUUGUGUGUCUCUGUGUGUGGUCCCCUAAGAGUUAGAAACAAACAGGCUACCGAAUGCCGCAGGCAUUAAGUCCAGCAGGCUGUGCGUGCGCACAGAACAGUUAGUGCUCUGGAGCUGUCAAUCACUGCAGUAGAGGUGUGUGAAGUCUGCAGGCCCAUAUUUAUUUGAACACCCCAGACCUGUCAAUCAAAUCUCACCACAUACACAGUGAAUAAGGAAUGAAUGAGAAUGAGUGAAAUCCAGCACAACUCUGUGCCUGUCUAACUCUAAACAGGCUGAAAUGAAUCUAAAUUCAAACUCUACCUUGGAAAGUGAACGAGAGACAGGCAGAUAAGAGUGAGCGAGAGAUAAAAAGAAAGUGUAUACAUUUACACUCAAACACAAAUACGCUCGCAGAUCUUAUUCUAAGUUAUUUGAUUAUUAAUAAUUUAUCAUUACCAUGAUCAAGUGUACCGUGAUUUAAAUAUGUUUUGAUGUUUGCAAUAUUUACUGACAAAAACUCAAGGAUAUGACUGGAUCAAUGUCCUUAAAAAUCUAGUUUAAAACAUAUGGGUAACACUUUAUUUUAGUGUCCUUGUUACACGUUGCAUGUAGUUACUAUAGUAAUAACUAAAAAAAUUAUGCAUAAUUACAUGCAAUUAACCCUAAACCAAACCUAAUUCUAACCACAGGUACACUACAAUAAGUACUUGUAGUUAAUUAAUAUUACUCAGUACUAUAUAAUUACACUGUAACAAGGACACCUUAAAAUAAAGUGUAACCAACUUAUGUGCCAAGUUGUUACUUGGCCAUGAAUAUUCAGUGUAUUUUUUAUUUUUUGUAAAUUUUGUUUAUAACAUUUUCAAGAAAAGUUUUAAUUUAAUUAAUUUAAAAAUGACAAGUAAAAUCUAAUAACACAUUUACACAUUUUAAUCAUUAUUUCCAUACAUUUUUAUAUAUAUUUCUCAAGGUAAAAUUAUUUUUAUGAAUAUCCAGAAAUUAUGAAUUUAUAAAUAUUUUAUCAAAAAAGCUGACUUACUAACCUUGAGACAAAAUCAUGACACUCUCUAUAUCAUUUUCUGAUUUAUGAUUUUUUUUCUGCAUGUUUCUGCAUGUUGUUUGCACCACAGUUAUUAAUGAGCAGGUCAGCAGUUUUGUUCAAAUAAUUUCCCCAAGAAAUAAUAAUACAAGAUUAUAAUAAAAAAUAUUGUUCUUUUUUUCUUGAUAUUCGGACAGUUGUAUGAUCCUGAUAUUUUUAUUUCAUGGCCAUCAAAAAUAUCAACAUUUUAAAUCAAAAGAAUAAAAAAAAAAACAUUAGUCACUGAAUGUACGUAUGUACUGCAUUUUCAUGUAUUUUUUAAAUAAAUUAAUAAAUACAAAAAACAACAAAAAAA